CGAGGAGCGGGGUCUGAAGUCUUUGGUUGGUCACACACACAUGCAUCUACCGUUGGAUUGCGUUGAACCGAAUCUACACAUCUCUCUCGAUCCACCAUGAUUUUUCUGCUAUCGCGCUCAUCCGGGUGUUAGACAUCCUCAGUCUGUCCAGAACUGUCCCUAUGGAAGGAUGUACUGAAGUAAGGUGUGGUUUCUUGUGCGACGUUCUUUGUUCAUUUACGUUUUGUGCCGGGUUCCUUCUUGCUCAGUAAUGGAAUGAUUUAUCCUAGCAAAUUGUUGAGGUGUGUGCGCUAUUUAUCAACGACUACCUGCUAGCCUCGUCAACAAUCUUCGAAGUGAGCGACGGAAAGAAAACGUUUUCCAGUUUUAAAAUAUUAAGCCCCCGGUGAGGACAUCAUUACUUAACAGAAGCCGAUUCAACACGCGCAGCUCCUGUUCAUGACGUCAUCACGAAACUGAAGCCAGCUGAACACGCGCAGCACGGAUGGUACCCCGAGCGCGGUAGGAGGAAGGAAGAACGAGAGGAGGAAGAACGGUAAAUUUGGAAGGGGGUAAGCGUUCUGCCGUCUACACAGCGGGAGUAUCCCAAAACACAUGUGGUAAGGGAGAGGGAUAUUAUUCAAUAAACAGCAUGCGAAUGUGUGCAUAAAGCAAA